AUGGGAACCUUGAAAGAGUAGAUCCGUAAAAAAGAGAUGCACCAGGCCAGGACAGAACAACAGCAAG
rnacentral:SRP_RNA from 1 species